CACCGCGAGGAGAAUCGGAAGGAAGCUAAGGACAAAAGUCUGGCUCCACGCACAGAAACUUGAUACAAGGCUCAAAGUCAGGGGUAAGGUUGCUGAACAAACCAAAGCCCGAUAGCUAUCCGGACUGACGCGAGUAAAUCAAGGGAGUAUAAGACUGAAAGAUUAU
rnacentral:ncRNA from 1 species